UGAAAAUGUUGGGAAAACAAUUUUGUAUAUCCUGAAAACAUCUGAUAAACAAGUAACGUUGUUAUCAAUUGGUAAAACUAACUACUGAUGAAUCAUAAUUGUUUGUGGAGGACCAUUGUUUGUGCUUUUCGUGGGUGACCCUUGCACACGAAUUUACAUCCCCGCCAACGUGUAUACACGCAUUUAUUCAGUAUUUAUCUACAAAUUAGAACUUGCUUCCCACGGAAUUACGUCCGCACAAACCAGGAAAAGUUUGACUUACCACAGAUAUUAAACCCACGAAAUAAAUUGAUUCCAUCAUAACUCGGCUUACCUAUUCAAUAUACUGACGAACAUUUGUCCUAAUUAUAUCAUUUAAAAUUGAAUGCAUGAGUUUUACUAAACGUUAAACAUGUUUCCAGUUGAAGCUACAAGCACACAGCCUUGUUCAUGCACGGAGGGCUACACCAUUGUAAUCGUGUUGGAAUCACUUCUGAUUGUUGUCACAGGAAGUAUGAUAAAUUUUGUCAUCUGGAAACGUAACGCUACAAAACUUUCCAGAAUGAGCCGUGAAAAUAUGCCGCAACCUACAAAUAAAACAGGUACAAUAUGAGAAAUUCUGAAUAA